rnacentral:rRNA from 1 species
AAGACCUUACGCUUUUGGAGCGGCCGAUGCCUGAUUAGCUUGUUGGUAAGGUAAAGGCUUACCAAGGCUUCGAUCAGUAGCUGGUCUGAGAGGACGGCCAGCCACACUGGGACUGAGACACGGCCCAGACUCCUACGGGAGGCAGCAGUGGGGAAUUUUGGACAAUGGGGGAAACCCUGAUCCAGCCAUGCCGCGUGAGUGAAGAAGGCCUUCGGGUUGUAAAGCUCUUUCAGCCGGAACGAAACGGUUACGGAUAAUACCCGUGACUACUGACGGUACCGGAAGAAGAAGCACCGGCUAACUACGUGCCAGCAGCCGCGGUAAUACGUAGGGUGCGAGCGUUAAUCGGAAUUACUGGGCGUAAAGCGUGCGCAGGUGGUUUUGUAAGUCAGAUGUGAAAGCCCCGGGCUCAACCUGGGAACU